AGAGUUUGAUCCUGGCUCAGGAUGAACGCUAGCGAUAGGCCUAACACAUGCAAGUCGAGGGGCAGCACAUGAGUAGCAAUACGAUGGUGGCGACCGGCGCACGGGUGAGUAACACGUAUGCAACCUACCUCUAACAGGGGGAUAACCCGUUGAAAGACGGACUAAUACCCCAUAAUACAGGGGCUCCGCAUGGAGAUAUUUGUUAAAGAUUUUAUCGGUUAGAGAUGGGCAUGCGUUCCAUUAGCUAGUUGGUGAGGUAACGGCUCACCAAGGCGACGAUGGAUAGGGGAACUGAGAGGUUUAUCCCCCACACUGGAACUGAGACACGGUCCAGACUCCUACGGGAGGCAGCUGUGAGGAAUAUUGGUCAAUGGAGGCAACUCUGAACCAGCCAAGUCGCGUGAAGGAUGAAGGUCUUAUGGAUUGUAAACUUCUUUUGCAGGGGAAUAAAUAGCGGUACGUGUACCGUUUUGCAUGUACCCUGCGAAUAAGGAUCGGCUAACUCCGUGCCAGCAGCCGCGGUAAUACGGAGGAUCCGAGCGUUAUCCGGAUUUAUUGGGUUUAAAGGGUGCGCAGGCGGGAGAUUAAGUCGGCGGUGAAAUUUUGCAGCUCAACUGUAAAAGUGCCUUCGAUACUGGUUUCCUUGAGUGUGGAUGAAGUAGGCGGAAUUUGUGGUGUAGCGGUGAAAUGCUUAGAUAUCACAAGGAACUCCGAUUGCGCAGGCAGCUUACUAAACCACUACUGACGCUCAGGCACGAAGGCGUGGGGAUCAAACAGGAUUAGAUACCCUGGUAGUCCACGCAGUAAACGAUGAUUACUGGCUGUUUGCGAUACAAUGUAAGCGGCUGAGCGAAAGCGUUAAGUAAUCCACCUGGGGAGUACGUUCGCAAGAAUGAAACUCAAAGGAAUUGACGG
rnacentral:rRNA from 1 species